rnacentral:tRNA from 1 species
CAGGGUGUAGUUCAAUUGGUAGAGCACCUGCUUUGGAAGCGGGAAGUUGCAGGUUCGAGGCCUGCUACCCUGACCA